rnacentral:rRNA from 1 species
UACGGAGGGGGGCUAGCGUUGUUCGGAAUUACUGGGCGUAAAGCGCACGUAGGCGGCUUUGUAAGUUAGAGGUGAAAGCCCGGGGCUCAACUCCGGAAUUGCCUUUAAGACUGCAUCGCUCGAAUUGUGGAGAGGUAAGUGGAAUUCCGAGUGUAGAGGUGAAAUUCGUAGAUAUUCGGAAGAACACCAGUGGCGAAGGCGGCUGACUGGACAUGUAUUGACGCUGAGGUGCGAAAGCGUGGGGAGCAAACAGG